rnacentral:rRNA from 1 species
UUUGACAAUCAGAAGGAUCGUUUUCGAGUUUCCAUUUCUUCAUUUGGAAUCUGGGCUCUUCUAUCUUCGACUUAUUUUUUUGGCUUUAUUCUUUAUUUAUUUCAUUUUUAUUUUUCCCUCUUCCUCUAUCCCUAUCCUCUAGGUACAGCGUUUGCAUAAAUAGAGAACCUUUUCCUCUGUAUGAAUCUAUAUUAUUCCAAUUUCUUCCCAUAACUUCCCAAGAAAAAUCCCGAAUUGGAUCCAAAAUUGACGGGUUGCCGGAGAGCGGACGACUAA